rnacentral:rRNA from 1 species
AGUGAACGCUGGCGGUAGGCCUAACACAUGCAAGUCGAACGGCAGCACAGUAAGAGCUUGCUCUUACGGGUGGCGAGUGGCGGACGGGUGAGGAAUACAUCGGAAUCUACUUUUUCGUGGGUGAUAACGUAGGGAAACUUACGCUAAUACCGCAUACGACCUACGGGUGAAAGCAGGGGAUCUUCGGACCUUGCGCGAUUGAAUGAGCCGAUGUCGGAUUAGCUAGUUGGCGGGGUAAAGGCCCACCAAGGCGACGAUCCGUAGCUGGUCUGAGAGGAUGAUCAGCCACACUGGAACUGAGACACGGUCCAGACUCCUACGGGAGGCAGCAGUGGGGAAUAUUGGACAAUGGGCGCAAGCCUGAUCCAGCCAUACCGCGUGGGUGAAGAAGGCCUUCGGGUUGUAAAGCCCUUAUGUUGGGAAAGAAAAGCAGCAGGUUAAUACCCCGCUGUUCUGACGGUACCCAAAGAAUAAGCACCGGCUAACUUCGUG